GACGAACGCUGGCGGCGUGCUUAACACAUGCAAGUCGAACGAGUGGCGAACGGGUGAGUAACACGUGGGUGACCUGCCCUGCACUUCGGGAUAAGCCUGGGAAACUGGGUCUAAUACCGGAUAGUGUGGGAUGGGCCCGCGGCCUAGCAGCUUGUUGGUGGGGUAAUGGCUACCAAGGCGCGACGGGUAGCCGGCCUGAGAGGGUGGACGGCCACAUUGGGACUGAGACACGGCCCAGACGCCUACGGGAGGCAGCAGUGGGGAAUAUUGCACAAUGGGCGGAAGCCUGAUGCAGCAACGCCGCGUGAGUGAAGAAGGUUUUCGGAUCGUAAAGCUCUGUUGUUAAGGAAGCGGUACUUAACCAGAAAGGGACGGCUAACUACGUGCCAGCAGCCGCGGUAAUAC
rnacentral:rRNA from 1 species